AAAAAAAAAUUGAGGAAAAUUUUUUUUGAGGAAACAAAAUUUUGAAGGAGAAAAAAAAAUCAGUUUGGACUUGUAAAAUUUUUCAAAAUUUGAAUAUCGAAAAAGGAAAUGGAAACUGAAUAAGGAAAUGAAAAUCGAAAAAGGAAAUAGAAACCGAAAAAGGAAAUGAAUAUUGGAAAAGGAAAAAGAAACCGAAUAAGGAAAUGAAAAUCGUAUAAGGAAAUGAAAAUCGAAUAAGGAAACGAAAAUCCAAUAAUGAAAUAGAAACCAAAUAAGGAAAUAGAAACCAAAUAAGGAAAUAGAAAGCGAAUAAGGAAACAGAAACUGAAAAAGGAAAUGAAUAUUGAAAAAGGAAAAAGAAACCGAAUAAGGAAAAAGAAACCGAAUAAGGAAAAAGAAACCGAAUAAGGAAAUUGAAAUUGAAUAAGGAAAUGAAAAUCCAAUAAGGAAAUAGAAACUGAAUAAGGAACUAGAAACCGAAAAAGGAAAUGAAUAUUGAAAAAGGAAAAAAGAAACCGAAUAA
rnacentral:lncRNA from 1 species